GAUGAACGCUGGCGGCGUGCCUAAUACAUGCAAGUCGAGCGAAGCGGGGACGGGUGAGUAACACGUGGAUAACCUCAUAUAAAACUGGGAUAACUUCGGGAAACCGGAGCUAAACCGGAUACUUAAAGAUGGAUAAACGCUGCAUUAGCUGGUUGGUAAGUUAACGGCUUACCAAAGCAACGAUGCAUAUCCGACCUGAGAGGGUGAUCGGUUACACUGGAACUGAGACACGGUCCAGAAUCCCACGGGAGGCAGCAGGAGGGAAUUUUCCGAUAUGGGCGAAAGCCUGACGGAGCAACGCCACUGGAGUGAUGAAGGUCUUAGGAUCGUAAAACUCGGUUAUUAGGGAAUCGGUACCUAGUCAGAAAGCCACGGCUAACUACGUGCCAGCAGCCGCGGUAAUUC
rnacentral:rRNA from 1 species